CAUCUUCCGCAACACCAGAGGCACACCAUCCUCCACCAGGCCCUUCUCCUGCAGCUCAAACAAGGACACUCCAAACAGCUUGGUGUGCUUGGCUGUCACUGUCCUGGGUUGCAGUAUGGGUAUCUGGACCAUCUUCUUAAUGUCUUCUUUAACAUGCACCGCUGUUUUGUUGUGCUGUAGGGAAAAGAGCAGAAAGCAGCAGUCAGCCACUGACACUAUGGGCACAGAAGGAAGCGCUGCAGCCGGCAUCAGUCACUGAAGGCAGAGACGCGGGUGAAUACUGAGGGUUUCUUGUCUUUGAUGCAGCCCUGCGGUCCAAAGCUGACGACCCCAUGCACCUCCCAGGUUGUGUUUAUCCCAGCGGCCGCGCAGGUGAAAGGACCUCCGGAGUCACCCUACGGGAGGGCAUGAGAAGUUAAUCACCAAAGAUUUACUGCACUGCCAGUGACAAAGCAGGGUGUCCCAGCAGCCAUCACAGCUCCAGGUUUGGACAGACAGAUGGGGCUGAUCUCCCUUGUCAUAUUGACAGGCUCGGCCAAAUGUACCAACGCUAUGUCAUUGGUGAUGUCAGUGCGAUCCUGCUCGUAAACAAACCCCUCGUGGCGGAUGAUACCAUCCACCUUGUAGCAUUUCUCUGCUGAUGGAACGUCCAUGGAGGAGUUCAUGUGGUGCUUCCCCAAACACAUGCGCCA